GCCAGUACAGGGGCUGGAGGGAAAGAACAGUGCUGAGGGCUCCUGGAUCACUGCUUUGAAUUAAAACCUUUUUUUUAUUUUUGGUAUGUGAGCAGGCUUGACAUAGGUUGUUGGUGCCAGCUGGGCUUCUGUGCCUCAGUUUCUCCCCUCCCUGGGGCUACCAACUGCUCAGGCAGAGCUACCCACAAGAUCAACAGAAGAUGUGCAGAGAGGGGAAGAGGUCACAGCAUCCACCUCCAUCUCCGUUGGCAUUGCCAGGGAAAAUUCUUCAUGAGGACAUGAGACAGCAGCCACAUAGCACGGUAUUGAGAGAGGAGGCACUGAGUUAAUUUGGCUGCCCAAUUAACACCAAGGGAAGUCAUUACUAUACAGCUCAUGGCUCUCUGUCCCAACACGUUGUUGCCCAGGUCCCAGGGAGGUGAGCAGAGCUCAGCAGUGGGACACAGAGGGUGGGCUGGGGGCCCUGGUGAAGCAUUUGACUCCUGCUCCGUGAACAAAGCCUGGUGCAAACAAAUUCAAAGCAAACGAGAGGCUUGGGAUUGGGGUUCCUGGUGGCACCCACCCUCCUGCCUGUGCUGGGACCCCUCACUUCCCCACCAAGCCUCCCCCUUCCUGUGGCCAUUCUCUGUCUGAGCAGGGCCAGAGAGCUGCCGAGCCCUACAUCCACCUGUAUAUACGUAAACACACACGCACAGUUCCCACUUGCACGUGGACCCCAUAGCUUUGCUUCUGACAGAAGGUGCACCCAGCACCAAGGGGUAAUGCCUCACACACAAACCCCAGAAAUUAUAUAUAAAAAAAAACCAGGUCAGAUACACUUCAGACUCAAGCCUGGGACAACUCUCAAAGUGCCAAGGCUGAAGCAUGAUGGGGCUGGAAACUUUUCCCAUCGAGGUGGGAUUUAGAGAGGUUUCCCUCUCUGUAACUGGGUCGAUCACAUGCCCAGAGCCUGUGAAGCCAAGAUAAACCUUGGCCAAACGUGCAGCCUCACUACUGUGAGCAUCCCUGACCGUACCAGGGCUGUCCUGCCACCCUAAAUGCUAAAUGUGCUCCAUCAGGGUCACCGAGUCCCAAAAUAUCCCCCUCCUGCCCGGUGUCCUUUGUAGCAGCUCUGGUGGGGCCAGAGGCACCUUCCAACGGCUGGACUGGAGUGAGGAGGGUUGUUCUCUCGCCCAUCGCCCCGUGGGGUGUACCCAGCAGCAGCUCAGCUCCGCUGUGCCGGUGCUGCUGUCGGCAAGGGCAGGUUCCCCGCCGGCCCCCGGGGUUUGGCAGCUCGCGGGGCUCCUGCCUGCCCGCAGCCCCGAGGGGACGGGGAUGGGGGCCAGCAUCCCGGACAAAAGAGAUGGAUUAUUCGGUACAAGCAUACCCCCUGCCGACGAGCUGGAAAAACACAGCUCCCCGGACACCUUCCCCCCCUCCAAAAAAACCCACCCAGCUACAACCACGGGAUAGAACCAGGGGGGCCGGGACAUCCCCGAGGCGAAGGCCGGAGGCUGGAGAGGGGCCGGGCUCCCGCAAGGAGUUGGAGACGGGAGUUGCUCGCAACACGAAUGAACACCCGCCCACCCCCAUCUCGCCAGGCCCGGCAGUAGCAAGUUUUUUCCACAGAAGCGCUGCCUGCCCCGCCAAUCCGGGCCCUGCGGGGCAGGGGGACCCCGGCUGCGGCUUUAAAAGCGGAGCCCUUUGUGCGCCGGGCUCCGGAUCGGGAUGUGCUGUGCCGUGCCGGGAUGUGCCGUGCCGCCGGCAGCCGCCACCGCCGCCAGGAAGAGCCUUGGACCACGUUGCACCAGCAGCCCCGGGACCCGAGCAUCCCCCUCGGCAGGUAUUUCAUCCCCCUCCCCUGCACCCCAAUAAACGUGUGGCAGGCCGGCUUGCCCCGCUCGCCGUUUUGCCGGGUCUGGGGUGGUUGCCUUUUAUUAUUUAUUUACUUUCCCCCCCCCCGUAACCGCCUUCCUUCUUCCCUCCCUCGCACCCGCUGGUUUGGGAUGGUGCGGCUGGGGGUGUCGUGCUGGUGGCACCGAGGCACAGCAGGCUGGGGUGACGGGGUGCUGCCCGCUGGUGGGGAUGUCAGGGCUCGUUGGGGACAGCUCGGUGUCACCGGCGGCUUGAGGGGGUGGGGUGAGCACAGAAUGGCUCCCUGGAGUCUGUCUGUUAUUGUAGGGUCUCUCGAGGGGGUGGGAUCAGCGCUGUGGGUUGCUGAUGCCCCGGAGUGGGGUAUGCCCCGGUAUAGGCACCUCCAGGCUGUCCCUGUGCCCAUAGGCAGACCUCUCCCAAAGCCUUUGACGUUUGGCCCUGAGCAGACCUACAGCCCAGGUAGCACCUUUUAGGGGGACUCUAACCUGGCCUGGGGUGUCCCUGCAGCUAUCUUGUCACCAGAUAGUACCACGAGCAGUGGCUCCGGGAGCAGCUGCAGCCCUGCUCCGUGCCCAGACAGCCCUGCUGCAGUGGGACCUGCCUACAUCCCUUCAGCCCCCAGCUCAUCCCUGCCCUGCCUUGGCAUUUUGGCCACAGCCCUGCUGCAGUUCUAGAGCUGUGCCAUGUCCUUGGAAGCAGAAAAGCUCCCUCCUGGGCUGAGCAGUGAUGGUUGGAGCCAGCCAACAGCACCACAGAUGCUGGAUCUGGGCUGUCACUUUUCCUCCUUGUCCCUGAUUCCCUGACCCCUGCUCUGGGCUUGGAGGGGGCAUGCUAGUGGCUCCAUCUGGAGCUGGGAGACAGGAGAGGGUCAGGUGUGCAGUGGUUAGCCAUCCCACCUGGGUGUGCUCUUUGCUCCUGGUGGGUUCCCAGGAGUGCUGGGGAAGCGUCAGGCUUGACUGGGAAGCACAAGAGGCCUCAACCUUUGCACUGUGGGAAAUCACCCAGCAAACCGUUGGUGAACUUGGAUGCCAGAGCAGCGCUUCUGUGCCAAAGCCACUGGCCUCGUGUGAGCAGAGGAUGGAGGAGACAUCGACCACAGCCACCCCACGGAGCCCCCUUUCCUCACCCCUGUUGACAGAGGGAUGCAGCUGCCCUGAUUGCUGGCUGGAGCGUGGCUGAGCACCCACGCAGUGCAAGGCACCCAGCUGGGCUUGCAGUCUCCCGCGGCACUGGGGAUGGGGACGAGCCCUGGCUGGGGACCAAGGGCAGGCGCUCGCCAGCCCCCACGUGCAGGGAGCCGUUGGUGCGGCUGUUUGCAUGAGCAAGAGUGAGAGCUGGGGCUGACCACAGGAACCCACAGCUGUUGCGGGGGGCCCGGCUGCUACAGGGGUCCCAGUGGCCCCAGGGAGCGGCUCAGGGGCUGUUAUGCAAAUUUAGAGGAGCCAGGAAACCAGUCGGAGGGCAAAGGAGUCUGAAUUUCUCUUCUCUCCUCUGAGUCACCAGGACUGACUUCCCUGGCUCUGAGAUGCUGUGGAUGCUCAACACAUCCCCUGUUGAGAGCCUUGGCCGGGGUCCUUCCAGCAUGGCACCGCUCUGGCACCUGGGCACAGGCUGGUCCUUGUCCCUGUGGCUGGGCAGGGCUGGGCAAUGUGUGUCUCCCUGCUCCCAGGCUUGCCCCUCCUAUAUGGCACAGCCUCAUGGUCUCCAUUCUGGCUCUGCAGCCUCUGCCACCACACCCAGGACCUACAGCUGUUCUGGAAAGGGGCUGGGACCAGUGUGGGGUGGUGACUGGCUGGGCAGCUGGUGGUGGGACAGAAUGGGUGCAGUUUUGGGAAAGGACCAAUUCUGGCUGUUCUCAGCUCAGUCUCUGUUCCUGGGGUCCUUCCACACACAGCUUUAUAACUGCCUCAAGGGACAGUAGAACUGCUGUAGGGCCCUGAUGGAGGGGACUCCAUUGUAGGUGGAAAAGGGGCACUGUGGCUGCAAGCAUGAAACAUCCAAUGAUUUGGCCCUGGUAUGGUUUCUUGAAAAUCACCCUGGUUUCUUUAUUUUGGCACAUCCCUGGGGUACUGGGGGUUAGCAGUGGGCUUGGGGACAUCCCCAGGAGGGCAGGGUCUGGUUCCUUCUGCUCUGUCCCAGGACCGUCCUCUUUCACAGUGUCCUUUGUCACAGCCCCCUUGGGCAGCUGCAGAGGAUGAUGUCCUUACCUGCCCAGGCUUGCCAGAGGAACCUCAGAGCCCCACACAUCCCCAGGUACCAUCACAGCAGCACUGACAUGCUCUGCCCUGCUGUUUGCACCCUGGUGACCCAAGUGAUGGGCACAGGCAGAGUCUGUCCCCCUGGAAAUCAGAUACUGGGGACCCUGUGAUUUCACAUGGUAGUGGUCAGGCUGGAGGCACCUGCCUCCUGUCAGAUACAAAAGGCAUUGCUUUGCCUGCCACAAAGGAGGAAUGUGCAUGUGUGAGCAAGAGAGGCCAGCAUCCGUGACAGAGCAUACCCAGGCUUCUGCCACUUCCUCACACCACAGGAGAGACACGGUGGCCCAGCCCUGAGUGAUGGCCACCAUCAAGCACAGCACCCUGGUGUGGCCAGCUCGGCAGCAUCCCCCCUUCUUGCAGACCAAGCCACAGGUGAGUAUGUGGGAUGUCACCUGCCUAACACAGAGGAGCAGGGCCCAGACCUCAGAGCAGCCUCUGGUAUGUUGGAAGGGGACAAGUCCAGCUGGACCCUGGCCUGGCAUGAGGAAGAAAAUUAGUCACAGCAGCUGAAGGGCUCCAUUGCCACAUUUCUGCCCCAGUGCCUGCUGGAAGCACCCUGACAGGCAGAUUCCCUCUGGCACAAGAAAAGCACCAGGGGAUAAAUGCCCUUGUGCCAGGAAGAUGGACCCCAUCCCAGCAGGUUGGGGUGUCCGCAGCCCCCACACUCUUCUCUGCAGGAGAAAUACCCCGUAAUGAUCCUGAAAGCACCUUUGGGUGACAGGCCAGGUGCUGCAUGGCUCUCUGACAGUGCCACAGAUUGGCAAAACAUGUUGCUCCAGUGGGACACAGUGGCUGUUUUUGCUGCCCCGACGUGGGGUGCACAGGAUGAGUCCCUGUGCUGCUCUCUGGGCUCUGGCUCCUGCUACCACCAUUUGUCCCUGUGCCCUUCUUCCCAGUCGCCUUCCCGUGCUGCAGGGAGGCAGAGCACAGCUAGAAAUACACCCACUGCAUCCCCCCUUCCUGCCUGUUUGCUUCCUCCCCUCCUGGCCUUGCCUUUCAGUGUGGCUUCCUAAGAAAACAAAGGUCACACUUUGCCUACACACACACACACACACACACACACACACACACACACACACACACACACACACACACGUGUGUGCACAGCUGGUGCCCUUCUAAUAAACUUUGACCACAUUUCCAUCCCUGUGGAUGGGGGGAAGCAAUCUGCAAACAUGCUGAGGUCAACAGGGCUGGUAAAAAUGAGCAGCUAGGGAGGGAGAGAGAGGCUUUCCUUUCCUCCAGCAUGGAGGCAGGCUGCUCCACAGCUCAAACCCUUAUUAGACAGUGGAAAAGCCACAUAUGGCACACCCAACACACCCCACCUGCAGGAAGGGCUUUGAUCUGAGCAGUCGUGCUGUGGGAGCUCCCUGGGGACCGAUGGCAUGACUGCCAGCCCGCUCACCUGGGCUGAGCUCUGACAGACUCAUUCCACAGUUGUGGGGCUCUGAACCCUGUGCUGAUGUCACAGCCUGGACCCGUGAACCCCUGUCAGCCCCAGCCUGCAUUCCACAUAUCCCAGAGAUUCUGCUGGAGGAAGCCAAGCUCCACCAACCCAGAGGCAGCGAGCUGCCACCAAAUGCGCUCAUCCCACAGCUACCCUGCUCCGUCUUCCCUCCAAAAAAGCCACAAUUGCCAAAAACCCCCUGAAAAAUCCAUGGGUUGGUAUAUUCAGGUUGAGAGCACAGGGGUUGCAGUGACUUAUCUGACAUAGUUUUCCAGAAA